rnacentral:rRNA from 1 species
CGUCCCUGCCCCUUGUACACACCGCCCGUCGCUCCUACCGACUGGGCGCGGCGGCGAGCGUCCCGGACCGGAAGGGCCGCGAGCCCCCGCGCCUGGAGGAAGGAGAAGUCGUAACAAGGUAUCCGUAGGUGAACCUGCGGAUGGAUCCCUCG